CUGGGAUAGUCCACCCUCGCCGCCGACCAUGGCCUAGUAGUCCUCACCCAGAACCCCACUGGACUGAGGGGCAGCUCGGGACUGAGGGGCAGCUCUGCACUGAGGGCAAGCUCAGCACUGAGGGGAAGCUCAGUCAGGUAGUUGGCUCCGGCAGAUCCUGGCUGGCUGGGGGAUCUGGAAGAGUCUGGUUGACUGGCGGAUCUGGAAGAGUCUGGUUGACUGGCGGAUCUGGAAGAGUCUGGUUGACUGGCGGAUCUGGAAGAGUCUGGUUGACUGGCGGAUCUGGAAGAGUCUGGUUGACUGGCGGAUCUGGAAGAGUCUGGUUGACUGGCAGAUCUGGAAGAUCAUGGCUGACUGGCAGAUCCUGGCAGACUGGCAGCUCCAUGCAAACUGGCAGCUCUGGCUGCUCCAUGCAGACUGACAGCUCAGACUGACAGCUCUGGCUGUAGAGGAGGAAGGCUCUGGCUGCGCUGAACAGGCGGGAGACUCCGGCAGCGCAGGAGAGGAGAAAGGCUCUGGCUGCGCUGAACAGGUGGGAGACUCCAGCAGCGCUGGAGAGGAGGAAGGCUCUGAUAGCGCUAGACAGGCGAGGCGCACUGAAGGCCUGGUGCGUGGUGCUGGCACUGGUAGUACUGGACCGAGGACACGCACAGGAAGCCUGGUGCGGGGAGCUGCCACCGGAGGACUGGUGUGUGGAGGUGGCUAUGGAUAGACCGGACCGUGCAGGCGCACUGGAGCUCUUGAGCACCGAGCCUGCCCAACCUUACCUGGCUCGAUGCCCACUCUAGCCCGGCCAAUACGAAGGGCUGGUAUGAACCGCACUGGGCUAUGCACCCGCACUGGAGACACCGUGUGCUCCAUAGCAUAACACGGUGCCUGCCCAGUCUCUCUAGCCCCCCGGUAAGCACGGGGAGUUUGCGCAGGUCUCCUAACUGGCAUAGCCAUACUCCCUGUGAGCCACCCCCCAAGACAUUUUUGUACAGCAGAGGUACAGAAGGUACAGCAGAGCUGAUGACCGGUGGUUGGGGGUUUGGUUGUCAUGUUGAUGAUACUGGCCUGUUGUAGAAGGUACAGCAGAGCUGAUGGACGGUGGUUGGGGGUGUGGUUGUCAUGUUGAUGAUACUGGCCUGUUGUAGAAGGUACAGCAGAGCUGAUGACCGGUGGUUGGGGGUGUGGUUGUCAUGUUGAUGAUACUGGCCUGUUGUAGAAGGUACAGCAGAGCUGAUGGACGGUGGUUGGGGGUGUGGUUGUCAUGUUGAUGAUACUGGCCUGUUGUAGAAGGUACAGCAGAGCUGAUGACCGGUGGUUGGGGGUGUGGUUGUCAUGUUGAUGAUACUGGCCUGUUGUAGAAGGUACAGCAGAGCUGAUGACCGGUGGUUGGGGGUGUGGUUGUCAUGUUGAUGAUACUGGCCUGUUGUAGAAGGUACUUCAGAGCUGAUGACCGGUGGUUGGGGGUGUGGUUGUCAUGUUGAUGAUACUGGCCUGUUGUAGAAGGUACAGCAGAGCUGAUGACCGGUGGUUGGGGGUGUGGUUGUCAUGUUGAUGAUACUGGCCUGUUGUAGAAGGUACAGCAGAGCUGAUGACCGGUGGUUGGGGGUGUGGUUGUCAUGUUGAUGAUACUGGCCUGUUGUAGAAGGUACAGCAGAGCUGAUGACCGGUGGUUGGGGGUGUGGUUGUCAUGUUGAUGAUACUGGCCUGUUGUAGAAGGUACUUCAGAGCUGAUGACCGGUGGUUGGGGGUGUGGUUGUCAUGUUGAUGAUACUGGCCUGUUGUAGAAGGUACUUCAGAGCUGAUGACCGGUGGUUGGGGGUGUGGUUGUCAUGUUGAUGAUACUGGCCUGUUGUAGAAGGUACAGCAGAGCUGAUGACCGGUGGUUGGGGGUGUGGUUGUCAUGUUGAUGAUACUGGCCUGUUGUAGAAGGUACAGCAGAGCUGAUGACCGGUGGUUGGGGGUGUGGUUGUCAUGUUGAUGAUACUGGCCUGUUGUAGAAGGUACUUCAGAGCUGAUGACCGGUGGUUGGGGGUGUGGUUGUCAUGUUGAUGAUACUGGCCUGUUGUAGAAGGUACAGCAGAGCUGAUGACCGGUGGUUGGGGGUGUGGUUGUCAUGUUGAUGAUACUGGCCUGUUGUAGAAGGUACAGCAGAGCUGAUGACCGGUGGUUGGGGGUGUGGUUGUCAUGUUGAUGAUACUGGCCUGUUGUAGAAGGUACAGCAGAGCUGAUGACCGGUGGUUGGGGGUGUGGUUGUCAUGUUGAUGAUACUGGCCUGUUGUAGAAGGUACUUCAGAGCUGAUUGCUGCAAGAUGGACCGAUAUUAUUUCACUACACUAAAAUGUGACAUACAUUAUAUCUUGAAAAUAUCAAUGUAACCUUAAAAAAAAUACUUAAUUGUUUUUUCAGAUGAUUCAAGCAACCCUAUUUUAGACCACAUUUA